GGGCGGAUAGUCUAGGGGCUAUGAUGCCGCGCUUACAACGCGGAGGUCGCCGGUUCGAUCCCGGCUCCGCCCA
rnacentral:tRNA from 1 species